rnacentral:rRNA from 1 species
CCUACGGGUGGCAGCAGUGAGGAAUAUUGGUCAAUGGCCGAGAGGCUGAACCAGCCAAGUCGCGUGAGGGAAGACGGCCCUACGGGUUGUAAACCUCUUUUGUCGGGGAGCAAAGCGAACCACGUGUGGUUCAUUGAGAGUACCCGAAGAAAAAGCAUCGGCUAACUCCGUGCCAGCAGCCGCGGUAAUACGGAGGAUGCGAGCGUUAUCCGGAUUUAUUGGGUUUAAAGGGUGCGCAGGCGGAGGUGCAAGUCAGCGGUCAAAUUGCGGGGCUCAACCCCGUACUGCCGUUGAAACUGCAUCCCUUGAGUGCGCGAGAAGUAUGCGGAAUGCGUGGUGUAGCGGUGAAAUGCAUAGAUAUCACGCAGAACUCCGAUUGCGAAGGCAGCAUACCGGCGCCCGACUGACGCUGAGGCACGAAAGCGUGGGGAUCGAACAGGAUUAGAUACCCGAGUAGUC